CCCCACUUACACAGUUCCUUCAUAGCGUUUGUUGCUUCGUAGGUGUCUCCAUGUCUGCCCAACCCGUACCUUAAUCAUCAGCCAGGACCCUUUACAUGUAGCAAACUAUUUUAUAGACCUUUACAGUAGUGUGUAGGCCUUGGAGAAGUCUGAUGAUGGUGUGUAACACCCUUUGCUGCACUGAGGAACAUUUUUCUAAGGUCUUUUAGGUGAAAACUGCGAAAAUAUUCCUAGAGUUAAGAACGAUUUUCUGGAAAAUUCCAGUGUCCUUGGAAGCAAGGAAGCAAGGAAGCAAGGAAGCAAGGGACCAAUCUAUCGCUGUUUUUCAUUCUGUCUUCAGCACCGACGGACCCUCUCUCCACAGUGAGGAUGACUGAUAGCUACCAGAGUGCCCCAGAGGUCGUCCACACGAGGGGGAAGAAAGGACACACAUCACAAUAUGUUAAAGCCUGCUUCAUCUUUAACAAAUUCUAUGAUGCUACUAGACUUAUAGUUACCACGCGGCACAGUUUGAUCUGCAAAAAUAUCGGGGAAAUGUUUUUACCUUUGGCCUCUUUCCUUGUGUAUUGUAGACUCCAAUUCCACACAAAUGCAAGCUGUUUUAUCAGUGUGAAUUUUCAGAGGCUGGAUAAGAGUAAAGUUAGGAAAUUUAAAUAUUCUUUCUCAUGUAGUACAGUCUACUGAUCCGGGUAUAUAAUAAUUCUGGGAGAGAAUUUUUUUUAGAUCAGACUGUGAAAUUGAAAUCACCUUUGAUGUGUUUUCAGUGGCUUCUUCCUAUUAGAGCCAAAUUUGAUGGACAGGAGGUGUGGGCUAACCCAAU
rnacentral:lncRNA from 1 species